rnacentral:RNase_P_RNA from 1 species
UGAGAGGUGCAGACGAUCGCGCCGCAAGGUGAGGAAAGUCCGGGCUUCACAGGGCAGUAUGCCGGAUAACGUCCGGUGGGGGCGACCCCAAGGAAAGUGCAACAGAAAGCAAACCGCCGCGCAAGCGGCAAGGGUGAAACGGCGGUGUAAGAGACCACCGCUUUUGUGGUACCACGUAAGGCAUUGUAAACCCCAUACGAAGCAAGACAAACAGGAGGCAAUGUGGCUGCCCGUCACGUCUCCGGGUUGUCGCGUCGUCCGCAAAGUACAGGUUCUGCCUGUAAACCCGCGGGCGGGAGCCGGCAGGUAACUGCCGGUCAAGAUGGAUGAUCGUCUGAUACAGAACCCGGCUUACAGCAGCUCUCAAAAA